rnacentral:lncRNA from 1 species
GUUCAAGUCACCAAUAUGACUCAAGGCAUACUUUAUUUAAGUACAAGAUUCCAAGUUUCACAGUUUUGGUUAAAGUUCUGAAUCCAUAUCAUACAGUAAUAUCAACAUAUUAUAAUUUACUAUUUCUGUAAUAACUAAAUGUACCUGUAGAAUCUGUCAUGGUAAUGCUUGUAUAUUUAAUAGUUUUUUCACAGAUUCCUUAUAUUGAGACAUAUUACUUUCAGUUUCACCUUCAUUUUUAAGUGCAAUUACAGAGUUUCUGUAAUUCCUCACUACUUCAGAUGCAAGAAGCUCUUCUUUAGUUACAUUACUGACAUUUUCCGUGGCUUUUAUUUGAAGAAGAGUAUCCAGGGCAUUUUUCUGAGAGGAGCUGUUUUCCCAGAUAUACUCUUCCAUGUCUUCCUCAGUCUUCUCACUCUCCCACGCCUCAGUUUUCCAGGAUUCAUGGUACAGAACUGUGAGGAGAUGUAUUCCAUAAUCAUAAUUCUGUCUUCUUAGUGGACACCUGUCUGUUAUAAUUGUGAGUACAUCUGUAUCCUUGCAGUAGCGCUUUCCUACAAGUUUAAUGAGCUUCUUCUUUGCAUGGUCAUCCAAAUUCAGGUUAGAAAGUUUAACCCUUAAAGUCACUAUUCUUGCUUUGGGAUUACGAAUAGAUGUACCUGCAGAAACAUAAUCCACUGUCUCAAUUUCAACAGGAAAAUGCUGUUCGCAUUUCUCAUCACCAUCCAAAGCACUUGGCCAUUCAGUGCAGAAAUCUCUGAGAGCUGCACAGUGUUUCUUAAUUGCAGGAGGAGUAAGAUGUAAAAAAUUGGGAAUCUUUAUAAGCUCUAAGUUGCCUUCUUUUGGUGGAGGUACUCCUCCCUUCACCGGGUAGCCCAUUCGAAUUGGGAGAGGCACGGAUGCAGGUUUAAAUGCAGCUGCUGUUGGAUAAACACUGCUCCAGUCCUGGUCAACAGCCAUCCUCUCAGUUCUGGGAGGUAUAUGCGAUCUUAUCAACUGUGACAUCCUGCCUCUUCUCCUUGUUGAAACUUCCCUCUGCUGGGCUUCCCUGCUGCUCGCAGCUGGUGUAGAGAAGUAAGCUGCUACCUCUGCCCGCCAGCAGCACCGGGCCAGCGCGGGCCAGCGGCUCGAGCCAGACAACACCCAGCACGCUGCCGCCAUCUUUGGAAGAGCAGCUGCAUGCGAUAUUUCCCGCCUACAAAGGGGAAGGGCAAGCUUAGCAGAACACCGAAAGUGAUUCGUCUCCUUCUGGAAGAGAAGCAGGAUGGGUAAGGAGAGGGAGAAAAAGUCGGAAAUUGAGUUCAGCUUGUUUAUUUUGUUUGCCAUGUUAUCGUGCUUUGCGCAGCAGCGAUCGGGUUCCCCGGACGUAGCCGGUCCCUAGGCGAGGAGUGUCGGGUUAGAGUUAAGCUCCCUAAGGAAUUGUUUUCGUUUCACGAAUAAAAAAUAAAAUAAAUAAAUAAUAAAAAACCAAAAAAAAAAAAAAACAAAACAAAAAAACACGUAACUUCUCAGUACCUUCGUAUGAAUUCUUUUGCUCUUUACAUCCCCAAAGCAGGGGAGGAUCACUGAUAGAGAGAGGUGACAAGGACACAGGCAGGCUCAAGAAAUUGAAGGCAUGCGUGAAAGAGAAAUUAAGUGAAAGAGUAGAGGUCCGCAACGUGGGAUGAGGUAGGUCAGGUGUAAGUGUACCUCCCACCAGUAGUGGUAAGUCUGCGCAGGAUAAGGGCAGUUCUCUGUGGGGACGGUUCAGCUGCCCCUGUGAUGGAAGCUCACUGGAUUGCUGUGCAGGCGCAGCAUUUUAAAUCUCUUUUAAAGAGAAUGAGUUUCUUGCUAGUGGUGCAGUCAGGAAGUUCCAUGCUCGACUUUGAGUGUUUGGUACUGCAAAGAUAAGGGAAGGUUUUUUUGCAGGAUAGUGAUAUUUCCUAGCACUUCAUAAGAAAUUAUUUUUCCUUAGCUAAAACGUGAACGGAUUCUGACCUGCCGGGGUAUGAACUGGAAACCAAUGAUCACACUGUCAUAUAUGUAAAUCAACCUGUAAGUGACUAGAUCACUUCAAUUUCAGUUUAUUUAUUUAGUUAGUUAGUUUCUCAGAAACAGUUGAAAACAGCUCUGAUAGGGUGAGGUUCUUUUGUUGUUGUUGUUGUUGUUGUUUUUUUUUUUGGUAGCAAUAUACAAGUAGUAUACUUGUAUUGCUGGCCACAGUCAAGUGCUUCAAAUUACAACAUACCAAUAAUGUAGUUUGCCUUGUUAUUAUUAAUAGAGCAUCUGCAAUGGCUCCACAAUCACUUCAUCCAGAUUAACAUAAUCAUUGUUCAGAAUGCACUAUUAGUAAUGGAUAAUUUUUAAUGGCUAAAAAUAAUUACAGGAUAAACUUUUCAAUUGAAAACUUUCUGCAAAAUUUCUGUUUUGGUUCAUUCACCUCAUUUCUAACAGCAGUUGGUAAAAGGACAAAACAAAGUAUCUUGAAAUUUUUAGGAAGGUAAUUUUAAUGCUAAAUGCCC